rnacentral:tRNA from 1 species
AGCGGUGUGGCCCAGUGGAAAGAGCACGGGCUGCUGAGUCAGAGGACCUGGGUUCUAAACCCAGCACCACUA